GAUGAACGCUGGCGGCGUGCCUAAUACAUGCAAGUCGAGCGAACAGAUAAGGAGCUUGCUCCUUUGACGUUAGCGGCGGACGGGUGAGUAACACGUGGGUAACCUACCUAUAAGACUGGGAUAACUUCGGGAAACCGGAGCUAAUACCGGAUAACAUUUGGAACCGCAUGGUUCUAAAGUGAAAGAUGGUUUUGCUAUCACUUAUAGAUGGACCCGCGCCGUAUUAGCUAGUUGGUAAGGUAACGGCUUACCAAGGCGACGAUACGUAGCCGACCUGAGAGGGUGAUCGGCCACACUGGAACUGAGACACGGUCCAGACUCCUACGGGAGGCAGCAGUAGGGAAUCUUCCGCAAUAGGCGAAAGCCUGACGGAGCAACGCCGCGUGAGUGAUGAAGGGUUUCGGAUCGUAAAACUCUGUUAUUAGGGAAGAACAUAUGUGUAAGUAACUGUGCACGUCUUGACGGUACCUAAUCAGAAAGCCACGGCUAACUACGUG
rnacentral:rRNA from 1 species